GACCUGCUGGCACACACACUUGUGCACUGUGCCAGAUUGCAGCAGUAAUCUUCUGUUCUGAACAAUCACUCAGUAUUUCUGAACCCCCUGUUCCCUCGGAUUUGCUCUCUGGAGUCCUUGUUCCUCGUGAUGUCCCGUCACAUACACAUCGUUCCUGCAGAACAGCAGCUUUGAGAAGGAAAUAAAUCACAUCCUUACAGCUCUUCAAAUAACAGGAGCUGCUCUGUCCCUGAGGCUUUUCAACAUUUAAAUCUGCGCUCUUGUGUGGCAG
rnacentral:lncRNA from 1 species